rnacentral:lncRNA from 1 species
CAAAUAUAAAACAUCACUAGCUUAGUAAGGCCCAAAACGCUCAUUCAGGCAGCCACCGUCGAGUUUGACGCGCCCCAUAGUGAAAUAACAGUAGUCAGAGCACACUUUAUGAUUCUGUUACCAGUCUGCACUGAAAAUUAAAGUGUUGUCAUAGCCAAUUUUUAAUUUGUUAAUCUGACUCGGGCAAGUACCGCGAAUGCAAGCACAAUUAUUAAGGUGACCAACUUUGCUAGCGUGUUUAUGUCAUAUUUACAUACCGGAAAAAUGCUCAGCAAUGUUGAACUUGUUAAUGAAAUUCUAAAGAAAGAUGUGGCUGCAGCAUGCUUUGCAAAAACAAACGCAAAAAUAAAAGGACAGAAAUGGGAAUAAACAUAUACACGCACGGAAGCACUCACAUAUUCCCACACAUUCACACAAACGCGAGCGC